UCAUUGCGAUGAUGAUUUAUGAAUAAACUUCGCAUGUCAGACUUCGGAGAUGCUUCUGGCAUCCAUGAGAAGAUGUUUCAUACCACUGAGCAAUAC
rfam:Setaria italica strain Yugu1 chromosome VII, whole genome shotgun sequence.